CCCGAAAAAUUGGCGCCGCCUAUUCACUGCCCAUUAUGGUUUCUGGGGCUUUCCGAAAUGGUGCUAUGGGCGACGUAGUUCCUCACGGUUCAAAAGUUAUGAGGUUUCCAAGUUUAGACUCGUCUUAGGAUGCAUUAAAAAAAAUUAAAAAAUAAAAAGGGGUGCAACACGAGGACUUCCCGGGAGGCACCCAUCCUAGAACUACUCUUGCCAAGCACGCUUUGCCCCAGAGUUCUGAUGGGAUCCAGUGCAUUAGUGCUGCUAUGAUCGCACCCGUCAGUACAACACUCUCAUUUCUAUAUAUCUUUUCUCGGCCAAUACAUGUGUAAGGCUGUGGGGCCCACAUGAUUUUCUGGCCGUUUUGUUUCGAGUGAAAAAGUGCGUCGAGGUUAAUGGCGUUAAGAAAGCAUCAAAAACACCCUGAGAAAAUGCUUUCGAUCUUUAUUACGUGCCGUAAUUUUCUGCAUCCCGUUUGAGGGUCAAAACGGCUGAAUUUGACCCCAAAAAAUUGCACCGUCUAUUCACCGCGCAUUAUGGUUUCUGGGGCUUUCCGCAAUGGUUAAAUGGGUGAUAUAGUUCCUCACGGUUCAAAAAUUAUGAAGUUUCCAAGUUUAGACUCGUUUUAGGCUGAAAAAUAAAAAU